GACGUAGGGCGCAAGCGUUGUCCGGAUUUAUUGGGCGUAAAGAGCUCGUAGGCGGCCUGUCGCGUCGACCGUGAAAACCCGCAGCUCAACUGCGGGCUUGCGGUCGAUACGGGCAGGCUGGAGUUCGGUAGGGGAGACUGGAAUUCCUGGUGUAGCGGUGAAAUGCGCAGAUAUCAGGAGGAGCACCGGUGGCGAAGGCGGGUCUCUGGGCCGAUACUGACGCUGAGGAGCGAAAGCGUGGGGAGCGAACAGG
rnacentral:rRNA from 1 species